CCUACGGGAGGCAGCAGUGGGGAAUUUUCCGCAAUGGGCGAAAGCCUGACGGAGCAAUACCGCGUGAGGGAGGAAGGCUCUUGGGUUGUAAACCUCUUUUCUCAGGGAAGAAAUCUUGACGGUACCUGAGGAAUAAGCAUCGGCUAACUCCGUGCCAGCAGCCGCGGUAAUACGGAGGAUGCAAGCGUUAUCCGGAAUUAUUGGGCGUAAAGCGUCCGUAGGUGGCCGAGUCAAGUCUGCUGUCAAAGGCUGGGGCUUAACCCCAGAAAGGCGGUGGAAACUGAACAGCUAGAGUGCGGUAGGGGCAGAGGGAAUUCCUGGUGUAGCGGUGAAAUGCGUAGAGCUCAGGAAGAACACCGGUGGCGAAAGCGCUCUGCUGGACCUGCACUGACACUGAUGGACGAAAGCUAGGGGAGCGAAUGGGAUUAGAUACCCCAGUAGUCCUAGCCGUAAACGAUGGAUACUAGAUGUUGCUUGUAUCGACCCGAGCAGUGUCGUAGCUAACGCGUUAAGUAUCCCGCCUGGGGAGUACGCGCGCAAGCGUGAAACUCAAAGGA
rnacentral:rRNA from 1 species